rnacentral:rRNA from 1 species
UCUUUUCCUUUUGUGCCCGCCGCCGCGGUAAUACGUAGGGGGCAAGCGUUAUCCGGAUUUACUGGGUGUAAAGGGAGCGUAGACGGAUGGACAAGUCUGAUGUGAAAGGCUGGGGCUCAACCCCGGGACUGCAUUGGAAACUGCCCGUCUUGAGUGCCGGAGAGGUAAGCGGAAUUCCUAGUGUAGCGGUGAAAUGCGUAGAUAUUAGGAGGAACACCAGUGGCGAAGGCGGCUUACUGGACGGUAACUGACGUUGAGGCUCGAAAGCGUGGGGAGCAAACAGG